CCAAUAGCGUAUAUUAAAGUUGUUGCAGUUAAAAAGCUCGUAGUUGAAUUUCGGGAUUGACACAUCGGUCGUGCCCUAAGGGGUAUGAACUGGUGUAGUCAAUUUCUCACCUUCUGGAGAACCGCGCUGUCCUUAAUUGGGUGACGCGGGGAACCAGGACCUUUACUUUGAAAAAAUUAGAGUGUUUAAAGCAGGCAUUUGCUUGAAUACAUUAGCAUGG
rnacentral:rRNA from 1 species